rnacentral:rRNA from 1 species
AUUGAACGCUGGCGGCAUGCUUUACACAUGCAAGUCGAAACGGUAACAGGCCUUCGGGUGCUGACGAGUGGCGAACGGGUGAGGUAAUGCAUCGGAACGUGCCCAAUCGUGGGGGAUAACGUAGCGAAAGUUACGCUAAUACCGCAUAAGCCCUGAGGGGGAAAUGGGGGACCGCAAGGCCUCACGCGAAUGGAGCGGCCGAUGUCAGAUUAGCUAGUUGGUGGGGUAAAGGCCCACCAAGGCGACGAUCUGUAGCGGGUCUGAGAGGAUGAUCCGCCACACUGGGACUGAGACACGGCCCAGACUCCUACGGGAGGCAGCAGUGGGGAAUUUGGACAAUGGGCGCAAGCCUGAUCCAGCCAUGCCGCGUGCGGGACGAA